AUUCAAAUGUUAAUUCUCUGUAAAUAUGGUGACAUUGUAUACAAACUAUACAAACAAAUGAGAACUGACAUGGAACUGACAGACUUAACCGGUCUACCAUUAGAUGUUGCCAAGUUUCAACUUCAUGGCUUGUUAAGUAAAGGUGGCUAACGAGAAGCUGGACAGCCUAAGUCUGACGUCACAAAUGUCACAAAAUUGGGAGGAGUUAGGAGUUUAUAUUGGGUGCAUUCAGCAGACACAAUCGCUAACUAAUCGAUUAGUGAUUUUCUGCUGAAUGCCACAUAAAUUGUGACAUUCAGCAUGUAAAUCACAAAUCGAUUACUAAUCGAUUAGUUAGCGAUUGCGUCUGCUGAAUGCACCCAUUGGCUCCAAACAAUUUUGAUUGUAAGGUUAAAUGGUCAUAAGACAUUUUUCAUUUAUGUGCUUUGUGUGGCAAAAUAAGACUUCAUUUACGUAUUUUGUUAAAGAAACGUGUUAAUUAAGAGAUUUUUAUUCGUUUUUGCUCAGGUGGUUUUUAUUCCUUAGUGAUUGAAAAUAAACAUAACCUCAACACUGUUUACAUUCUAAUCAUUGCAAUAAAUUAACUCACCUGAGCCAAAACGAAUAAAAAUCUCUUAAUUGGCACGUUUCUUUAACUAAAUACCUAAAUGAAAAGUCUUCUUUUGUCACACAAACUACGUAAACAAUAAAUUAAAAAUUCCUUAUGAGUGUUUAACAUUACAAACAAAAUUGUUUGGAGCCAAAUAUAAGCUCCUCCCAAUUUUGUGACGUCAAGACUUAGGAAGUCCAUUCGCACACUUGAUCCAACGUUGCCAAGUCACUAAAAUCUCAAUAUUUGACACCAAUUUGACAAUUGACAGAUUAUCUUGUAAAUAGUAAAUAGUAUCCUCCUAUCCUAACAAAACAAAGUCGGGAAGAAUGGAUUAGAUUAAUGGAUAUGUAAAAGCCAUAAGGAGAACAGAACUAAAAUUAAAAUAUGAAAGAAUAUGCAAUAAACAUUGUAUAAGUGGAAAGCCAGCCACUUUAAAAAGAUAUUUCAAACCAAAACAUGGGUUACCAAAGCAGGUAAUAAAAAGAAAAGGUGAUCUAGAAUGCAAGAGAAGAGCUGAUGAAAGAAGUAAAUGUAAAGAAAAUAAUGAAGAGACAUCUCUGGACCAUGAACAAACACCAGAUAUUUUAUAUAUGUAGAAAACGGAAAAACUGCUGGAACUUUAAUUUAAAGGCUUUUGACUAGUGAAGAUUUGGAUAAAACAACAGGAGUUACUUUGGGCUAUAGCUACGUGCAAAUUUAUUUUCUUGUGGCUUCCUAUGUUUGUUCUUAUUAACUAUAUCUACACUUUGAUAUGUUUUUAGUCGCAUGAAGAUUUUAUAGUUUAUUAUUUUAUGUAUAUUGUUAUAUUUGUGUUGAAUAAACAUUAUUAUUAUUA